AGCCUCGAUCCCAGGCCGAGUUUUCGCUUUUAUAACGGUUAGGCGAACAACUGGGCCUGGUACUAGUUGUCUGCGCAUGCGUCAGUCGUUUGUCAGAUUCUGACGAAUGGAUAUUCUCGUUCACUUUCGUGACAUUUAUAUUCGUGUACUAUCGUGUACUAGAAGUCAGUUCCCGUUUUAUCAUUAUUGGAAUAGAUUGGAAUGGCUCUUAGCUGAAGCUUCUCUCUUCUCUGAAGCUUAUUCUGAAGACUGAACAACAAGGGAAGAGGUAUAAAGCUUUGUCAAGCUUGUUAAGGUCAGAUAUUUUUGUGUGGGCCCUAUGGCCGGCUAUGCUAUCAAGUCUUGUUCAUGUUUGGCAAGAAUGUAGGUAGACUAUAGUUUCAUCAUUAAUAUGGUGAAUCAAGUGAAGAGUGUGAGCUAGAGAACUUGGUGCUGCCAUCAUCAGCUCGUCGACAAUGACACUAUAACCGAGAAAUUUAAUAUGUAUAGAUCUACACGUAUUUAAAAUGUCUACUUCUCUGUACAGGAGCAAUGGCUAAUAUCCAGCUAUCCCAACAGUGCUCCUCUUGGCUAUACUAACGGACGAGACUGGACAGUUUGAGACACAGGACUGGAGUAUGACCUGCUCAUUCGAGCGUUGCUGGGUAGCUCAGAGACAUCAAGAGAAUCUACGUUUUCUCAAGCAAUGAGUUACGAGUUGGGGCCUAGAAUCAGAGAAGUCCAGCAGCCUGCUAAAUCUUUUUGAAACGUAAUUUGAAGGCAUUCAAUCAUCCUGAAGUUGCCCUGGGUCACUGUAAUUGUGCUGCAGCACAACUGGCAACUCCCCAGGCCUUUGUGAAGCAGCUCCCUAUGUGCAUCUUUUGUGUACUCACUCUGUGCAUUUUCUGUGUACAAAUUUCCAUUAUUGAUUUAUUAAAUAUUUUUGCCGACCACAAA